UAAAGAUUUACGUAAAAAAGUCGACGGUUCACAUGUGAUGGGAGAGAAAAUGAAAAACAGAGAUGCGAAGAGAGUGAGGAAUAAUAUUAAAAAUCACUUCUAGGUAAAACGGGAUACAUUGGUCGAAAUAUUUCGGGUCGGGUAUUGAAACGUUGUCGU
rnacentral:rRNA from 16 species